rnacentral:lncRNA from 1 species
ACACCUAUGGAAACUCUCCCUUGUAGGUGGACCUGAAAUCCAGCCCACACUCUGCUCACCACCCUGUGGGCCUUGUCCCAGGACUCAUCCCUUCUCUUCUGGAGCCAUUUCCAAUUCUGCCCAAAAGGACAGCCUGAAGUGCUGGACCCUGGGUACCUGGCUGAAGACUUUGGACUUUAACCUGGAGAUGAUGGAGAGUAUGCAGGAUAAAGUCCAUACCAAAUCCAACGCCUAGCAAAUGGAGAACAAGCCAAAACUAACAAGAUAAAAUGUAGCAGGAAAAAGUGCAAAGAGCUGAAGUGUGGAAUAAGUGGGAGAGGUCUGCCAUGCCCUAUCUGACCUUGCUGCCAUGAUCUUUAAGGCUGUGUGUCCUGGUUGGUGCAGCUACAAGAUGGCAGAAAUGCCUAAGUGAUGGUAUGGAACAGAGGAUCCCUCUUCUCACCAUUGUCUUGCAUGUUUCCUUGUGUGAACCACAAAUAAACUUUUGUUAUGUU